UAAAAACAAAAUGCAAGCAAAAAAAAAAAAAAAAAACCAUUCAUGUUCUUCUCCUUCUACUCUGGUGCAUAUCAUCGGUCGUCUGAUGCCGUUCGUGGGUGACCUAAAAGAUCUGAACUAAGAGCCAAAGCUACACUGAUUACUUCUCUAAGGAAAAAACUACCCCCUAAUCUUCUUCCUCCAAGUUUUCCCAUGAUUUUCGACCCAAAUAUUGCUGCUAAAAUAAUUUUGGUGGAAGGAAAGAGACGAAUGGAUGUCGAAGGGUUUGAAGAGUAAAUGUCAAUCUACUUCUCAUCAGCUUUUGAAGGAAAGAGCAAAGAAUUGUGUUAAUGACCUUAAAGGGAUAUUCACUAAUCUUCAAAAUGCAAGGAAGGAGAGUCGUACUACUGACAUUACUAUCUUGGAGGAGCGAGUCCAUCAUAUGCUCAGGGAGUGGAAUGUUGAGCUUAAUGAACCUUCACCUGCAUCUUCAUUUGUCACAAUCAGGGAAGAACUCUACUUCGACAAGCCUAGAUGGGCCUUUUAAGAGUGACAAUCGAAAGCAAAGGUCAUUACCCGAUUAUAAUGGCCGUGGUUGGCAUGAAUCAAGGAAGCUAGUGAUGGAGUUUGGUGGUCAGAAGAAGUCUUACAUGGAUCCACAAGCAUCAAUCGGUGUUUUAGCCAUCUGCAUUAUUUCCAUAUCAUAGAAACACAACCUUUGGGUUGACUACAUUUUAUCCAUAUUCCAUGAACUAGAAAAGUAAUUUGCACAACAAUUGGUGGAUUGAUGAAUUCAGUGGCUCGUUAUGUUGUUUUACCACAUGAAAAUGGUCAUUGUAGUUUUACUAUUCGAUUGAGUAACAUAUUAGUGGGGAAAGGAAUUGUAAGCUUUAAUAUUUAAUAUUACAAUAUAUCUACAUUAGGUGUACAUAUAACCAUCUUCCACCAGUAGUUUCUAAUAAUCCAUAGCACUAAAUAAUUUUUAGUUUUUCUUUUAUACUUUCAAUGGAAUAAAAUUAUAAGGCACAUUAUUCCA